GUGCCAGCAGCCGCGGUAAUACGAAGGGGGCUAGCGUUGUUCGGAAUUACUGGGCGUAAAGCGUAUGUAGGCGGAUCGUUAAGUCGGGGGUGAAAUCCCGAGGCUCAACCUCGGAACUGCCUUCGAUACUGGCGAUCUUCGAGUCCGGGAGAGGUGAGUGGAACUCCGAGUGUAGAGGUGAAAUUCGUAGAUAUUCGGAAGAACACCAGUGGCGAAGGCGGCUCACUGGCCCGGUACUGACGCUGAAAUACGAAAGCGUGGGGAGCAAACAGGAUUAGAUACCCUGGUAGUCC
rnacentral:rRNA from 1 species